UUCCCUAAUGACUUUCCCAUCUUCAGGCCAUCCUUUGUCAAGAAUCCAUGCCCAAACACCACCUUAGGGAGGCCUAGGCCAGCAGACAUCAGCAUAGCCGGCCAAUAAACUGCAUGAAAACGUAAAAUAUCCUUUCCAAUUAAAUGCAGUGAUGCAGGCCAGCCAGAAGAAACAGCACUUUGCAAAUUAGUUUGUUCCUUGUCCUCUGAUAAAGCUGAUAGAUAACCCAAUAAAGC
rnacentral:misc_RNA from 1 species